rnacentral:rRNA from 1 species
UACGUACGAGGCGAGCGUUAUCCGGAAUUACUGGGCGUAAAGCGCGCGCAGGUGGCGCCGUAAGUUGGGCGUGAAAUCUCCCGGCCUAACUGGGAGGGGUCGCCCAAGACUGCGGGGCUUGAGGCUGGCAGAGGUAGGUGGAAUUCCUGGUGUAGUGGUGAAAUGCGUAGAGAUCAGGAGGAACACCGGUGGCGAAGGCGGCCUACUGGGCCAGCACUGACGCUGAGGCGCGAAAGCUCGGGGAGCGAACGGG